UCGAUCUCAAAUCAAGUAAGACUACCCGCUGAACUUAAGCAUAUCAAU
rnacentral:rRNA from 1 species